UACAGAGGUCCCGAGCGUUGUUCGGAUUCACUGGGCGUAAAGGGUGCGUAGGUGGCGAUGAAAGUUCGAUGUGAAAUCUCCGGGCUUAACCCGGAAAAGGCAUUGAAAACUAUGUUGCUUGAGGUUUGGAGGGGGGACUGGAAUUCUUGGUGUAGCAGUGAAAUGCGUAGAUAUCAAGAGGAACACCAGUGGCGAAGGCGGGUCCCUGGACAACACCUGACACUGAGGCACGAAAGCUAGGGGAGCAAACGGG
rnacentral:rRNA from 1 species